GGGCUUCCAGAGCUUUGACAGAACCUCAGUUGCUUGGCCUUCUGACCAAGUGUCUGUGAUUUCAUAUUGUUGGAGUAUUUGUUGUAGCUCUUUAUAACUUUGCUGUGGCUGAACCCAGAAAGAAAGCAUCUAUAGAUUUCUAAAAAAAUUGUAAUCCCAUGAAAAAUUUUGUGGAGAUGAGGAAAGUGCAAAGUGAUUUCAGAAUAU
rnacentral:lncRNA from 1 species